UUAGAGUUUGAUCAUGGCUCAGAUUGAACGCUGGCGGCAUGCCUUACACAUGCAAGUCGAACGGUAACAGGUCUUCGGACGCUGACGAGUGGCGAACGGGUGAGUAAUGCAUCGGAACGUGCCCAGUCGUGGGGGAUAACUGCUCGAAAGAGCAGCUAAUACCGCAUACGACCUGAGGGUGAAAGCGGGGGACCGUAAGGCCUCGCGCGAUUGGAGCGGCCGAUGUCAGAUUAGCUAGUUGGUGGGGUAAAGGCCUACCAAGGCAACGAUCUGUAGUUGGUCUGAGAGGACGACCAGCCACACUGGGACUGAGACACGGCCCAGACUCCUACGGGAGGCAGCAGUGGGGAAUUUUGGACAAUGGGCGCAAGCCUGAUCCAGCAAUGCCGCGUGCAGGAAGAGGGCCUUCGGGUUGUAAACUGCUUUUGUCAGGGAAGAAAUCUUCUGGGCUAAUACCCCGGGAGGAUGACGGUACCUGAAGAAUAAGCACCGGCUAACUACGUGCCAGCAGCCGCGGUAAUACGUAGGGUGCGAGCGUUAAUCGGAAUUACUGGGCGUAAAGCGUGCGCAGGCGGUUAUGUAAGACAGAUGUGAAAUCCCCGGGCUCAACCUGGGAACUGCAUUUGUGACUGCAUGACUGGAGUGCGGCAGAGGGGGAUGGAAUUCCGCGUGUAGCAGUGAAAUGCGUAGAUAUGCGGAGGAACACCGAUGGCGAAAGGCAAUCCCCUGGGCCUGCACUGACGCUCAUGCACGAAAGCGUGGGGAGCAAACAGGAUUAGAUACCC
rnacentral:rRNA from 1 species